rnacentral:misc_RNA from 1 species
UCUCCGUUGGUGAACCAGCGGAGGGAUCAUUACGGGACUCGCAAGACUCCUUCACCCUGUGAACCUCUCUACAAGCACGUUGCUCCGGCGGGUGUCCCGGCGGGGGUUUGCCCUCGCCGGGGCGCACACCCCGCCAGCAGCCUACUAUCCUCUGUGUCUUAGCGUUAGCAUCUCGAGAAAAAACAAACAAGUUAAAACUUUCAACAACGGAUCUCUUGGUUCUG